rnacentral:rRNA from 1 species
GACGAACGCUGGCGGCGUGCUUAAUGCAUGCAAGUCGCACGAGGCCCCGUCGACGGGCAACCGUCGAUGGGGUCCUAGUGGCGAACGGGUGAGUAACACGUGAGGAACCUGCCCCGGAGUCCGGGAUAGCCCAGGGAAACCUGGAUUAAUACCGGAUGUCCUCGACCGGUCGCAUGUCUGGUCGAGGAAAGGUCCGCCGCUCCGGGAUGGCCUCGCGGCCUAUCAGCUUGUUGGUGAGGUAACGGCUCACCAAGGCUACGACGGGUAGCUGGUCUGAGAGGACGAUCAGCCACACUGGGACUGAGACACGGCCCAGACUCCUACGGGAGGCAGCAGCAGGGAAUAUUGCACAAUGGGCGAAAGCCUGAUGCAGCGACGCCGCGUGGGGGAUGAAGGCCUCCGGGUCGUAAACCUCUUUCGGGAGGGAAGAAGCGAAAGUGACGGUACCUCCAGAAGAAGCCCCGGCCAACUACGUGCCAGCCGCCGCCGUAACAC